GCCCUCGUAGUUUAAUGGAUAAAACAACUCCCUUCUAAGGAGUGGCUGCAGGUUCGAUUCCUGCCGAGGGCA
rnacentral:tRNA from 1 species